UUGUAUACUUGUGUAAUGAAACAUUUAAAAAUCUUUCUAAUAUCUGCGAUUAUUUAAAAUUGCUAUUUCUCAUAUUACAAUGAGGAAAGUUGGCAGUAAAAGUUUACAGUAAUCCACGCGUAUUUUACUUGCCGAAAAAGCAUAAAAUAAGGACUCGACUACUAAAGUAUCCUGUAUCUGAAAAUCUAUAGGCAUAGAGUUAUAUUCAAGUGUUAUAUAUAAGAAAUGGCAGAAGCACAUGCUUCAAGUGAGGAGAAGAGUGUCGUCGUUUCUCUAG